rnacentral:rRNA from 1 species
CGUAGUUGAACGUUCGGGUUCCGCGGGACGGGGGCCGCCCCCGCGAGGGACGGCGCCGCCCCGGGGGCUCGUGAUAUCUCAUCUCGCCGCCCGUCGCGAGGCGGACGGAGGGAUGGAUGAGGUUACCUGGAAAAAAUCGGGGCGAUCUAGGCGGGCGAACCUCGCCAACGAACGAUCGGACAUGGGAUAACGGAAGAAGGCGUCGGCUCGACUUCGUCGGUUCCUCGGGCCGAGGCACGUACGGUGAAUAGGGACGGUCGGGGCCGCCCGUACCGGGUCGUGAGAGGUGAAAUUCUAGGAUCGACCCGAGACGAACCGCCGCGAAAGCAUUCGGCAAGGACGCUUUCAUUAAUCAAGAACGAAAGUUAGGGGGAUCGAAGAUGAUCAGAUACCGUCGUAGUCCUAACCAUAAACAAUACCAACCAAAGAUAAGAGGUUGAAACAAGAGAUAUAAAAUUUGUUUUUUUUAUAUCAAGAAAACUCCUUUUGAAUUUUUUGAGGGGAAACCAUUGAGUAUUUGGGUUCUGGGGGGAGUACGGUUCGCAAG